AUUUGAAUUAGUUUGUAAUGGUACAACAGUUAAAAAAUAGUUGCUUAAAAUUUUAGGGUCCAAGCCUGUAAACUGAGCCAAGCAAAAUAGAUGUGAUGGAGGAGACAAGUGAUAACAAACUAAUCAAAAGAAGAAAAUGUCAUAUCUUGGAUAAAAAUGGUUACCUUCAACAACUAGAUAUACUGGUCACAGUUAAAUUAAAUAUUGUUGUCAAGAAGAUUUUCCCUAUUCAUCGUAGAGGAGCAAUGGAACAUGUGCUUAAACUUUGCAUAAGUUUUGUUGAAACUUUCAUUUGAUAUACUGAAGAUGGUUGUUGAAUAUUGUUUGGUAACAAUAUCUAUAUGGCUAUAUGGCUGUAAAGAGAGAUGUUGAAAGGUGCAAUUUUAGUGCAAAAAUGUGCAUGUUUAACAACAUGUUGAAUGAACAAACAUUAUAAUGCAGUAAAACACUAGGAAUCAUUAUGUUUUCAAAACUUUAUAACAACUUAGUAAAUGUGUCGGAAUGUCCAUAUCUCCAUCCACCAAGAGGAGGUAUCUACAUGUUACUGAAACUUAAUACAUUAUAGAUGGAUAAAUCUCAUUGGGGAGAAAUGAUGUGUUGAAUUUUAAUAUGCCCGAAACAAUUUCGGGCAUAUUAUGUUAUACCCCCUGGCAUCUGUUCCUCCGUACGAACCCAGAGGUACUUGUGUGACUGGGUAUCAGUAUAUAAAUAACACAUGGAUUUGUUAGUAACAGUAAAAAUAUCAUCCCGAAGAAAAUACUGUUACCCAAGGAUGAUUGUCCAUAUUAUUAUUAGGUAGAAGACACCUAUUGAUUUUGAGGUCACGAGAUCAAAGGUCAAGAACUGAAAACAGUUUCCGGAGCAUAACUUAAGUUCCAUUUGGCACACAGUGUUCAAACUUCAUAGUAUGAUUGUCCAUAUUGGGUAGAAGAUCCCUAUUGAUUUUGGGGUCACAAGGUCAAGGUCAUUAUUGCCUUAAAACUGAAAACAGUUUCCGGAGCAUAACUUGAGUUCCAUUUGGCCCACAGUGUUCAAACUUCAUAGGAUGAUUGUCUAUAUUGGGUAGAAAAUCCCUAUUGAUUUUGGGGUCACAAGGUCAAAGGUCAAGGUCAUUAUUACUUUAGAACUGAAAAAAGUUUCCGGAACAUAACUUAAGUUUCAUUUGGCCCACAAUAUAAAAACUUCAUAGGAUGAUUGUCCAUAUUGGGUAGAAGACCCCUAUUGAUUUUGGGCUCACAAGGUCAGAGGUCAAGAUCAUUAUUACUUUAAAACUGAAAACAGUUUUCGGAACAUGACUUAAGUUCCAUUUGGCCCACAGUAUUCAAACUUUAUAGAAUGAUUGGCCAUAUUGGGUAGAACACCACUAUUGAUUUUGGGAUCACAAGGUCAGAGGUCAAGGUCACUAUUACUUUAAAAGUGAAAACAGUUUCCGGAGAAUAACUUAAGUUCCAUUUGGCCCACAUUUGGCCUAGCGGUGCUCUUGUUAGUUUUCAGCUCAAUUUUUUUUAAGAAUAAAAGAGUGUGAGCUAUUGCUAUGUACAGUCAUGCCUUACUUUCUUGUUGUCAUCCUAAAACUUUAACAUUGGCAAUUAUUUCAUUACAAAAUGGAUUCAAUUUUCUUCACAACAACCCUUUUGACAAGACCUUCAAGUAGACCAGACUGAACUUGACCUUGAGUCUUAAAAUAUCUUGACGUUCCAAGUCACGGUGUCAAAUGUUUAAACUAUCAAUUUUGCUUGAUAUUUCCUUAUUUGGCUGUAACUUUGUUAUUCUUUUUAGCUCACCUGAGCUUGCGUUUGAACAUGGGUCAUCUCAGAUGAAAAACUAGGUCACAGGAGCUAAAAAUAGAAAAAUCUUGUUAACACUCUAAUAGCUACUGUUUUCAUCCAAAUAUCCUGGACUGAAAGUUUGUUUUGAUGAUUUUUAUGUCAAAUUUGAAUAUGGUCAAAAACUAGGUCACACUGCUCAAAUAUGGAAAAUCCUUGUUAACACUCUAGUGGUCACAUGUUUGACUCACCUGUCAUGAAACUUGGUCAGGAUGCUUGUCUAGGUAAUUGCUCGGAUGAGUUCGAACAUGUGUCAUCUCAGAUGAAAUACUAGGUCACAGGAGUUUAAUAUAAUAUGGGUUUGAUGGGUCAGGUGAGCGAUCUAGGGUCAUUUUGGCCCUCUUGUUGGCUGUAACUUUGUAAGUAA